UACGAAGGGGGCUAGCGUUGCUCGGAAUCACUGGGCGUAAAGGGUGCGUAGGCGGGUUCUUAAGUCAGAGGUGAAAUCCUGGAGCUCAACUCCAGAACUGCCUUUGAUACUGAGAGUCUUGAGUUCGGGAGAGGUGAGUGGAACUGCGAGUGUAGAGGUGAAAUUCGUAGAUAUUCGCAAGAACACCAGUGGCGAAGGCGGCUCACCUGGCCCG
rnacentral:rRNA from 1 species